rnacentral:rRNA from 1 species
GACGAACGCUGGCGGCGUGCUUAACACAUGCAAGUCGAACGGAAAGGCCCUGCUUUUGUGGGGUGCUCGAGUGGCGUACGGGUGAGUAACACGUGAGUAACCUGCCCUUGACUUUGGGAUAACUUCAGGAAACUGGGGCUAAUACCGGAUAGGAGCUCCUGCUGCAUGGUGGGGGUUGGAAAGUUUCGGCGGUUGGGGAUGGACUCGCGGCUUAUCAGCUUGUUGGUGGGGUAGUGGCUUACCAAGGCUUUGACGGGUAGCCGGCCUGAGAGGGUGACCGGCCACAUUGGGACUGAGAUACGGCCCAGACUCCUACGGGAGGCAGCAGUGGGGAAUAUUGCACAAUGGGCGGAAGCCUGAUGCAGCAACGCCGCGUGCGGGAUGACGGCCUUCGGGUUGUAAACCGCUUUCGCCUGUGACGAAGCGUGAGUGACGGUAAUGGGUAAAGAAGCACCGGCUAACUACGUGCCAGCAGCCGCGGUGAUACGUAGGGUGCGAGCGUUGUCCGGAUUUAUUGGGCGUAAAGGGCUCGUAGGUGGUUGAUCGCGUCGGAAGUGUAAUCUUGGGGCUUAACCCUGAGCGUGCUUUCGAUACGGGUUGACUUGAGGAAGGUAGGGGAGAAUGGAAUUCCUGGUGGAGCGGUGGAAUGCGCAGAUAUCAGGAGGAACACCAGUGGCGAAGGCGGUUCUCUGGGCCUUUCCUGACGCUGAGGAGCGAAAGCGUGGGGAGCGAACAGGCUUAGAUACCCUGGUAGUCCACGCUGUAAACGGUGGGUACUAGGUGUGGGGUCCAUUCCACGGGUUCCGUGCCGUAGCUAACGCUUUAAGUACCCCGCCUGGGGAGUACGGCCGCAAGGCUAAAACUCAAAGGAAUUGACGGGGCCCCGCACAAGCGGCGGAGCAUGCGGAUUAAUUCGAUGCAACGCGUAGAACCUUACCUGGGUUUGACAUGGAUCGGGAGCGCUCAGAGAUGGGUGUGCCUCUUUUGGGGUCGGUUCACAGGUGGUGCAUGGCUGUCGUCAGCUCGUGUCGUGAGAUGUUGGGUUAAGUCCCGCAACGAGCGCAACCCUUGUUCACUGUUGCCAGCACGUUAUGGUGGGGACUCAGUGGAGACCGCCGGGGUCAACUCGGAGGAAGGUGGGGAUGACGUCAAGUCAUCAUGCCCCUUAUGUCCAGGGCUUCACGCAUGCUACAAUGGCUGGUACAGAGAGUGGCGAGCCUGUGAGGGUGAGCGAAUCUCGGAAAGCCGGUCUCAGUUCGGAUUGGGGUCUGCAACUCGACCUCAUGAAGUCGGAGUCGCUAGUAAUCGCAGAUCAGCAACGCUGCGGUGAAUACGUUCCCGGGGCU